CUUGAUCGAUCCCAGCCACAGCGGAUGAUCCGGGCCAUGGUGCGCGCCAUAGGUGGCGAUCAGCGCGCCGGCUUC
rnacentral:antisense_RNA from 1 species